GACGAACCGUACGAACGUUAUUCGGAAUCACUGGGCUUAAAGGGUGCGUAGGCUGCGCGGAAAGUUGGGUGUGAAAUCCCUCGGCUCAACCGAGGAACUGCGCCCAAAACUACCGUGCUCGAGGGAGACAGAGGUGAGCGGAACUUAGGGUGGAGCGGUGAAAUGCGUUGAUAUCCUAAGGAACACCCGUGGCGAAAGCGGCUCACUGGGUCUCUUCUGACGCUGAGGCACGAAAGCUAGGGUAGCGAACGGG
rnacentral:rRNA from 1 species